rnacentral:rRNA from 1 species
GACGAACGCUGGCGGCGUGCUUAACACAUGCGAGUCGAACGAGAUCCAAUGUGUAGCAAUACACAGGAAGAUCUAGUGGCGAACGGGUGAGGAACACGUGAGAAACGUACCCCAGACUUUGGGAUAACAGUCCGAAAGGACUGCUAAUACCAAAUAACGUCGGAAGUCCGCAUGGACAUCUGACGAAAGGGAUUCCGGUUUGGGAGCGUCUCGCGGACCUAUCAGCUAGUUGGAGGGGUAACGGCCCACCAAGGCAACGACGGGUAGCUGGUCUGAGAGGAUGGUCAGCCACACUGGGACUGAGACACGGCCCAGACUCCUACGGGAGGCAGCAGUGGGGAAUCUUGCGCAAUGGGCGAAAGCCUGACGCAGCAACGCCGCGUGCGGGAAGAAGGCUUUCGGGCUGUAAACCGCUUUCAGUAGGAACGAAACUGACGGUACCUACAGAAGAAGGAGCGGCCAACUAUGUG